rnacentral:tRNA from 1 species
GCCCAGAUGGCGGAAUUGGUAGACGCGCUAGCUUCAGGUGCUAGUGACCAUAUGGUCGUGGAGGUUCAAGUCCUCUUCUGGGCACCA